rnacentral:lncRNA from 1 species
UAUCUACUAUUCAAUUUUAUUCUAUUUUAUAUGAAUCACCAUCGUCUUCCUACAUUAAUGAGGGGCAUUGUAGUUGUUUUUUUCGCUAUCCUUAAUUUGUCUAAAAGAACCAACAAACCCUCAUAUGAAAGGAAGGAUAGAGUAUGUUACCAUUGGCUUGUUCUCAUCCAUGUAUUCACCUUUCACUUUAACACGCUCACAAACAAAGAAAUGUUUUUGUUUCAGUCGUGUUAGGCAUUAAGCUUGGGAUGCAUUGGGAGUUUUAUAGAUGCUAUGUUAGUAGCUAUGGCGAUUUGACCUUUAGUAUGCCAUAGGGACAGGACAUCUCAGGCAUCCAUGCGAGAUGACUAGAUGUCGGUCGGCCCUACUACACCAUUCG